rnacentral:rRNA from 1 species
UACGUAGGGGGCUAGCGUUGUCCGGAAUCAUUGGGCGUAAAGCGCGUGUAGGCGGUUCGGUAAGUCCGCUGUGAAAGUCGGGGGCUCAACCCUCGAAAGCCGGUGGAUACUGGCGAGCUUGAGUGCAGGAGAGGAACGCGGAAUUCCAGGUGUAGCGGUGAAUGCGUAGAGAUUAGGAAGAACACCAGUGGCGAAGGCGGCGACCUGGUCCGUUACUGACGCUGAGGCGCGACAGCGUGGGGAGCAAACAG